ensembl:lncRNA
UAGCAAACGUGGAAGUGAACUGAACGCCCUUCAGGACUUUGUCAGUGGUUGAAUCCAAGAACGUUACACAUCAGAAACUAAAGGGUUAUAUUUGAUGGCCUGGGUGGUAGGGAUUCAGCGAAUGCCUCAGAAGCUCGGUGUUUUUCUAGUCAUAGGAAUGAAACCACCACUCGGAACAACUACUAACAGCAACAGCAGGUACAGGUGUCCCAGCAGAAGGUGAUGUCAUGACAGCAGCAACUCUCGCCCCAUAUGACCACAGCCGCAAGGCCAAGACAUAAUACAGCGCUGCCUAGAAGGCCAGCAUCCCGGAGUCGCCUCUUCACUGUUGACUUUGAGACUGGUGUUUUACGGGUACUAUUUAAUGAAGCUGCCAGUUGAGGACUUGUGAGGCGUCUGUUUCUCAAACUAGACACUAAUGUACUUGUCCUCUUGCUCAGUUGUGCACCAGGGCCUCCCACUCUUCUUUCUAUUCUGGUUAGAGACAGUUCUGUUCUGUGAAGCGAGUAGUAAACAGCGUUGUACCAGAUCUUCAGUUUCUCUACAAUUUCACACAUGGAAUAGCCUUCUUUUCUCAGAACAAGAAUAGACUGACAAGUUUCAGAAGAAAGUGCUUUGUUUCUGGCCAUUUUUAAGCCUGUAAUUGAACCAACAGAUGCUGAUGCUCCAGAUACUCAACUAGUCUAAAGAAGGCCAGUUAUAUUGCUUCUUUAAUCAGGACAACAGUUUUCUGCUGUGCUAACACAAUUGCAAAAGGUUUUUCUAAUGAUCAAUUAGCCUUUUAAAAUUAUAGCUAAUCCAAGUUUAAAACAACUGUCCUUUGGAACACAGGUUGCUGACAAUUGGCCUCUGUACGCCUAUGUAGAUAUUCCAUAAAAUAAUCAGCCGUUUCCAGCUACAAUAGUCAUUGUUAAUGUUGUAAAUGUCUACACUGUAUUUAUGAUCAAUUUGAUGUCAUAUUAAUGGACAAAAAAAUGUGAUUUUCUUUCAAAAGCAAGGACAUUUCUAAGUGACCCCAAACUUUUGAACUGUUGUGUGAAAUACGUAUAUAUUAUACUGAACAAAAAUAUAAAUGCAACAUGUGAAGUGUUGGUCCCAUGUUACUUAAAUAAGCUGAAGUAAAAUAUCACAGACAUUUUUCCAGACACACAAAAGCUUAUUUCUUUCAAAUGUUAUGCACACAUUUGUUUACAUCCCUGUUAGUGAGCAUUUCUCCUUUGCCAAGAUAAUACAGCCACCUGACAGGUGUGGCAUAUCAAGAAGCUGAUUAAACAGCAUGAUCAUUACACAGGUGCACCUUGUGCUGGGGUCAAUAAAAGGCCACUAUUAAAUGUGCAGUUUUGUCUCACAACACAAUGCCUCAAAUGGUAUCAAAUACAUUGGUUUCCAGGUGUUUGUUGCCAUUCCAUUUGCUACUUUCCAGCCAUUAUUAUGAGCCAUUCUCCCCUCAGCAGCCUCCACUGGCCUAUGCCUUCCCAGACCCACCCAUGGCUGCACCCCUGCCCAGUCAUGUGACAUCCAUAGAUUAGGGCCUGAUGAAUUGAUUUCAAUUGACUGAUUUCCUUAUAUGAGCUGUAACUCAUCAUUGAGUUACAAAUCAUUGAAUUUGUUGCAUGUUGCUAUUAAAAAUGUUUGUUCAGUAUAUAUAUAUAUAUAUAUGUGUGUAUUAUUAUUAUUAACAGUUAACACCCAACAACAACUGCUCCCCGGAUGCCGAUGACAUUGAUUAAGGAAGACACAUUUUGGUUGAAUGCCUUCAGUUGUGCAACUGACUAGGUUUUCCCUUUCCCUACUUACAGUGCCUUGCGAAAGUAUUCGGCCCCCUUGAACUUUGCGACCUUUUGCCAC